rnacentral:rRNA from 1 species
AAAUAUCCACAACCUGGACGGAGCACUACCGCGUGAGUGUGAGGAAGGCUCUUGGGUUGUAAACCUCUUCUUCUCAGGGAAUAAAAAAAUGAAGGUACCUGAGGAAUAAGCAUCGGCUAACUCCGUGCCAGCAGCCGCGGUAAUACGGAGGAUGCAAGCGUUAUCCGGAAUGAUUGGGCGUAAAGCGUCCGCAGGUGGCACUGUAAGUCUGCUGUUAAAGAGCAAGGCUCAACCUUGUAAAGGCAGUGGAAACUACAGAGCUAGAGUACGUUCGGGGCAGAGGGAAUUCCUGGUGUAGCGGUGAAAUGCGUAGAGAUCAGGAAGAACACCGGUGGCGAAAGCGCUCUGC